GGUAUCUUCAUCUUCAGUUGAUAUUAAACAAUCACUUUGUCACAAUGAGGAGCGAGUUUACUGCGACAACUGUUCAACUUCAAUAGUCGAUCUUCAUCGAAGCUGCCCAGAUUGCUCAUACGAGCUAUGUAUAAGUUGCUGCCAAGAGCUUCGGGAAGGAAAGUGUUUAGGAAAUAGUAAAAAAGCAGUUGUCAAAUAUCCAAAUAUAGGUUAUGAUUACAUGCACGGUGGAGACGCAGAGCCU
rnacentral:misc_RNA from 1 species